AAGGCUGCUGCCUAAGAAGGGGUGUUCUGUAGCCUGAGGCCCUGUCACUAGCUGGAUCACCUUUGAAAAGGUUCUACCUUGACUGUAUGCAUACUGUCUGGAACAUAGGAAACUGAAAAAGAUAAAUCCCAAGCAACAAUCAAGGCUAUCUCUCUUAGACGACUGCCUGGAUUUCUUGAUAACUUCUGACUGUCAGUAACUAACUUGGAGGUACUCUAAUUUCCCUGAAAGCCAUGCUGGCUUCUGCAGCAUUCUAUGUGACUCUACCAUCAAUUGUGUUGGGCUGAAUGCUGUGUUGUAGCAGGAUGUAGCUACUGUGUUGUCCCUGUUCACAACAGGCUUAAUGUCCUCUAUGAUAAGGAAAGGUAUAGGACUAGAUUCAAUUUCUUUCUAAUCACUUUUCUCUGACUGGUAUUUGGGUUUUAUAAGCCUAUAACAUGUUGUGCAGUUCAGUAUGUGUCGGUGAACAAAGCACAGUCAUCAGUAAAGAUGGCUGAUCCUCAGCCUUUGAUUUUACUUUGGGUUUUUGCAAGGUGAAAACACCAUCUGGUAAAUGAAUGUGAAUCUUCCUUUGCUGCUGUGUAAACAAUAUUGCUGCUCGAAUUAUGGAGAAGCAAGAGGUAAAUAUAACCUUACUUGGUGAAAACGUGAAUUAUUGCACUAGUCUGCUGCAAUGAGGAACCCUCAUCUCCCUGCCAUGAAAUUAGUGAACGGUAUUCAUAAAACUGUCUGGACAACAGGAGUUCUGCAAUAAAACUGCUGAAACA